CAGGAACUCAUUUGUUGGUGGAAGGAUUAAAGAUGUACUACCCACCAGCUGUCAGGAGUUUUUAAAGUGGUGAAUUUAAACAGUGUUACAACAGAAUGAAGAUUUCUGAAAAAAGUAGAUGGCUAACCUAUUAUAUUUUGGGCAUCAUUUGACUUAGAUAGUGUUAAUGUUUAAAGUUGAAGACAGUAUAUAAUUCAUCAAGAACAGUGGAAUCCAGAAUUAAACCUUAAAUUUGACUGAUUUACUAUAGAACUAAUAGUACGAAAAUUCACCGGACCGAGUCCAAGAUAAGAAAUGUCAAAAAUUGGAACUGGUUGAUGGAUAUGGAUGAAACUUUGCAUCAGUGUUGUGUUUAUGAAUAGAAGUCAGGAAAAUAAAGGAUUACUGACAGGAAUUGGGGAGUGUGUGGUUUCAGAUUGGUUACAUUGGUAAAAAAAGUGAUUGGCAAGCUCAUUCCAGAGAUCUCUAAAGGGCCCAAGAUUCACCGGCCAUGGGAUUCGAACAAGCACCAUAGUAGCCUAUUGCUCAUAUGGACCACACAUUAUAUGUUUUGAUGUUUCAGCAAAGGAUUGAUGCUGUAGUAAUCAACCAUGCAGUUACCAAAGCCUGGGUUUGAGUAUAUGACCUUACCUUAUCCUGUUAAAGAUCUAUGGAAGGACUCCUUCAGCUCUGUUUGGCAGCAGCUUUGUCAGGACACAUUGAGAAGGAACUCAUUUGUUGGUGGAAGGAUUAAAGAUGUACUACCCACCAGCUGUCAGGAGUUUUUAAAGUGGUGAAUUUAAACAGUGUUACAACAGAAUGAAGAUUUCUGAAAAAAGUAGAUGGCUAACCUAUUAUAUUUUGGGCAUCAUUUGACUUAGAUAGUGUUAAUGUUUAAAGUUGAAGACAGUAUAUAAUUCAUCAAGAACAGUGGAAUCCAGAAUUAAACCUCAAAUUUGACUGAUUUACUAUAGAACUAAUAGUACGAAAAUUCACCGGGCCGAGUCCUAUCAUGAACGUUGUAUUGACAAGUAAGUGUGAAAUUAUGAAGCCAUUAAUAUAGAUAGAACUUAAGAUUUAUCCAACUGACAGGUUUAGGUUA